GGAUCCGUAGCCAAGAGGCUAAGGCAUCGGACUGCAACUCCGCGAGCGCCGGUUCGACUCCGGCCGGAUCCU
rnacentral:tRNA from 1 species